UGGGGAAUAUUGGACAAUGGGCGCAAGCCUGAUCCAGCCAUGCCGCGUGAGUGAUGAAGGCCUUAGGGUUGUAAAGCUCUUUCGCCGGUGAAGAUAAUGACGGUAACCGGAGAAGAAGCCCCGGCUAACUUCGUGCCAGCAGCCGCGGUAAUACGAAGGGGGCUAGCGUUGCUCGGAAUCACUGGGCGUAAAGCGCACGUAGGCGGAUCGUUAAGUCAGGGGUGAAAUCCUGGAGCUCAACUCCAGAACUGCCCUUGAUACUGGCGAUCUCGAGUUCGAGAGAGGUUGGUGGAACUCCGAGUGUAGAGGUGAAAUUCGUAGAUAUUCGGAAGAACACCAGUGGCGAAGGCGGCCAACUGGCUCGAUACUGACGCUGAGGUGCGAAAGCGUGGGGAGCAAAACAGGAUUAGAUACCCUGGUAGUCCACGCCGUAAAACGAUGGAUGCUAGCCGUUGGGGGGUUUACCUCUCAGUGGCGCAGCUAACGCCUUAAGCAUCCCGCCUGGGGAGUACGGUCGCAAGAUUAAAACUCAAAGGAAUUGACGGGGUCAUAGUG
rnacentral:rRNA from 1 species